GCACCUACGGGGCGCCGCAGUAUUUCCUCUUCCACCCUUUUCUCAAGCCUGAUGGAGCAACGCCGCGUGGGUGAAGAAGGUCUUCGGAUCGUAAAACCCUGUUGUUAGAGAAGAAAGUGCGUGAGAGUAACUGUUCACGUUUCGACGGUAUCUAACCAGAAAGCCACGGCUAACUACGUGCCAGCAGCCGCGGUAAUACGUAGGUGGCAAGCGUUAUCCGGAUUUAUUGGGCGUAAAGAGAACGCAGGCGGUCUUUUAAGU
rnacentral:rRNA from 1 species